rnacentral:tRNA from 1 species
GAUGCGACAACACGAACCUGCUAAAUUCUACAUCUGAUGUUAAUUCACCAGCCGCAUCA